CCUUACUGCCAGCAGUGUGUGGCUGUGGGAUGUGAUUCUGCACCCAGUUUACAUCUAUAUUUGCAAACUAACCUGCGCCUGAACUGGGGCUGAAGCAGAGGUGUGCUGUUGUCUACACUACUGCAGCUGUGGGAACCCUGGCACAUUUUUGCCUGUGCCAAAAAGCACCAUCCCAGAAGAUGCCUGGGCCCUGAGAGCAUUUCUCUGCCUUCUUGCAGUUCAGCUUCAGGACCAAAGAACAGAUCCUGUUUUCUUUUCUGGUUCAGAGCCAUUCCCAAUAGGAGUUCUGUUGGAAAAGCAAGGCUUCCAAGGAGGAUGUAUAAAGGAGAAAGGAUGGGACAGGAGCAGAUGAGAGACAGUAAUAGAGCCCAGCAUUACAGGAAAGAACUUCACAGUCGUCUCAUUCAUCCCAACUGCUUCCGGGUCUGGAUAGGUAACAACAGACUGUGAACCCUGCCUUCUGGUUUUGUGUAAGGCACUUACUUUGAUACAAAGUGCUUGUGGAUAAUAGAAAAACUGAGAAGAGUGGUGAGAUCUUAUUGA